GAUCGGCCCUGUCCCCAUCAGCUUGUUGGUGAGGUAAAAGCUUACCAAGGCUAUGACGGGUAGGGGGUGUGAGAGCACGACCCCCCACAAUGGCACUGAGAAACGGGCCAUACAUCUACGGAUGGCAGCAACUGGGAAUCGUUGGCAAUGGACGAAAGUCUGACCACGCGACGCCGCGUGAGGGAUGAAGUAUUUCGGUAUGUAAACCUCUUUUGCACCGACAUGAAGUUGGUGAGAAUAAGCGCCUACAAACUACGUGCCAGCAGUCGCGGUAAUACGUAGGGCGCAAGCGUUAUCCGGAUUUACUGGGCGUAAAGUGUCGUGUAGGUGGUUUGCCGCAUCGCACUUGAAAGCACGAGGCUUAACCUCGUCGUUGAGUGCGAGAUGGGUAGACUCGAGGGUAGUAGAGGAAAGGGGAACUCAUGGUGGAGCAGUGAAAUGCGUUGAGAUCAUGAGGAACACCAAAGGCGAAGGCACCUUUCUGGGCUACUUCUGACACUGAGACACGAAAGCUAGGGGAGAGAAGCAGAUUAGAG
rnacentral:rRNA from 1 species